GAGUUUGAUCCUGGGUCAGGACGAACGCUGGCGGCGUGGAUUAGGCAUGCAAGUCGCGCGACGGUAUUCCUUCGGGGAUAUACGGAGCGGCGAACGGGUGAGUAACACGUGAGGAACCUGUCCCUACUUUCCGGAUAAUUGGCCGAAAGGCCUUGUAAUACGGGGGAGGGUCUUUGAGGGGCAUCCCUUAAAGAAGGAAGGCGCAAGCACUUGUGUUUGUGCCGAGCAGGGAGGGUCUCGCGGCCUAUCAGCUUGUUGGUGGGGUAAAGGCCUACCAAGGCGACGACGGGUAGCUGGUCUGAGAGGAUGGUCAGCCACAUUGGAACUGAGACACUGUCCAGACUCCUACGGGAGGCUGCAGUCGAGAAUCUUGGUCAAUGCACGAAAGUGUGAACCAGCGACGCCGCGUGAAGGAUGAAGGACCUCUGGUUCGUAAACUUCUUUUAGGGGGGAAGAAUGGGCUUUAUGCCUUUGACGGUACCCCCUGAAUAAGCCACGGCUAACUACGUGCCAGCAGCCGCGGUAAUACGUAGGUGGCAAGCGUUGUCCGGAUUUACUGGGCGUAAAGCGUAUGCAGGCGGAUACUUAAGUAGGAAGUGAAAGGUGGGAGCUCAACUCCCACAUUGCUCCCUAUACUGGGUGUCUUGAGUGGCGGAGAGGGAGAUGGAACGACACGUGUAGCGGUGAAAUGCGUUGAUAUGUGUCGGAACACCAAUGGCGAAAGCAAUCUCCUGGACGCAGGGAAACCUUAAAACUGACGCUGAGAUACGAAAGCCAAGGUAGCAAACAGGAUUAGAUACCCUGGUAGUCUUGGCCAUAAACGAUGUUCACUAGGUGUUGGGGCUUUGCCUCGGUGCCGCAGCUAACGCAUUAAGUGAACCGCCUGGGAACUACGAUCGCAAGAUUAAAACUCAAAGGAAUUGGCGGGGGCCCGCACAAGCGGUGGAGCAUGUGGCUUAAUUCGAUGCAACGCGAAGAACCUUACCAGGGCUUGACAUGGAUCUGCAAGCUACCGAAAAGUAGUCGCCUUCGAGGGUGAUUCACAGGUGGUGCAUGGCUGUCGUCAGCUCGUGUUGUGAAAUGUUGGGUUAAGUCCCGCAACGAGCGCAACCC
rnacentral:rRNA from 1 species